UACGGAGAGGGCUAGCGUUAUUCGGAAUUAUUGGGCGUAAAGGGCGCGUAGGCUGAUUAAUAAGUUAAAAGUGAAAUCCCGAGGCUUAACCUUGGAAUUGCUUUUAAAACUAUUAAUCUAGAGAUUGAAAGAGGAUAGAGGAAUUCCUGAUGUAGAGGUAAAAUUCGUAAAUAUUAGGAGGAACACCAGUGGCGAAGGCGUCUAUCUGGUUCAAAUCUGACGCUGAAGCGCGAAGGCGUGGGGAGCAAACA
rnacentral:rRNA from 1 species